rfam:Cavia porcellus supercont2_111 genomic scaffold, whole genome shotgun sequence.
GGGGAUUUAGCUCAGCGGCAUAAGCGCCUGCCUUGUAAGCAGGCACUUGUGAGUUCAAUCCCCA